UACGAAGGGGGCUAGCGUUGCUCGGAAUCACUGGGCGUAAAGCGCACGUAGGCGGACUCUUAAGUCGGUGGUGAAAUCCUGGAGCUCAACUCCAGAAUUGCCUUCGAUACUGUAGAGCUUGAGACCGGAAGAAGGUAAGUGGAACUGCGAGUGUAGAGGUGAAAUUCGUAGAUAUUCGCAAGAACACCAGUGGCGAAGGCGGCUUACUGGUCCGGUUCUGACGCUGAGGCGCGAAAGCGUGGGGAGCAAACAGG
rnacentral:rRNA from 1 species